rnacentral:tRNA from 2 species
GCCACCGUGGUGAAAUUGGCAGGCACGAGGGACUUAAAAUCCCUUUCUGGCAACAGAGUACGGGUUCAAAUCCCGUCGGUGGCA